CCAACAUGGCUACAACAACACCACAUACAAAACGAGGAGCUGUUCGAAGCUGCUCCCAGGUUUGGAAUGUUGUGAGCAGCCCCGCUGGAGACGGAGACGGAUUAGUGAGCAGGAAGCAGGCUGAACUUGACUCUGCAUUAAUGGCUUGAGAGCCAGCUCUAAGAACACAC